CUCUGGAAAUUGUUUCCUUUAGCUGUGUUGUGUGGUUUAUGGUAUAGCUCCCUCAACACUUGUGCCUAGCAGCAGGAUGUGGGGUAAGGAAAUGUUCGUUCAGCAGAUAAAAUACCAGAAGUGCAGAAUUCUGGAUGGAUUAGAGGAAGAGGUAAAAGAGGAAGGAAGCACACAGGAGAUAAGUCUUAAUUGCUAUGAGGCAAUAAGAUACAACAGAAGCAAAGCUUACAGUUGCAGAGCUGUCAGUUUCUGAGCGAGGUUGGGAUAUAGCAAAAGACAAGAGGAUCAUAGAUUUUCUUUCUGUCACCACCACUUUAUUCUUUCACCAACAUAGCUUUGGCUUUGUUUCAGAAUGGGACAACUCAGUGAGUGAGAACUUCUCUUCCUCUGACUGUUAGGCUUCCUGUCAUUCUUUCCAAGCCCACUGAAGAACCUCUGAAAGAAAGUCUGUUGUACUCUUAGCAAUGACUUAUACAAAACAUGUUGACUAGUGCUGCAAAAACACACUAGAACAUUUUACAAGAGUGACAGAAUGAACUGUUUCUUUUCUCUCAUUUUCAUUCAAGGCAAAUUGAGCAGUGAUUCCACAUGGCUGAAUUGCUCCAGAUAUGUGAGGAUCUAAAUCCAGAUACCAGUGUCUUAUGCUAGACUCAAACUUGUAAGGACAGAUUCUGGUUCAACCUGCCGAUCUCAGGCUGCUUUCACUGUCUCUCAGCGGAGCUGCCAUAUCUGUGGCAUUUGCAGAAGUUUCAGCUUUAAUAGAUGCAUUCAGGAAGCUGCCUUGGUGGUAAUGACCAUCCAUUACACCUUCAUCUCCAAAAUACAAGAAGAUAAUUGGUUAAUACUUGUUCCCCAACAAGGGAAAAAAUACAUACUUUCCUUCCAUGUGUCUAAUGCUUUAUCACAACUACUGGUAUGUAUGGGAAGUGCUGAGUCAUGGCCUGAACCUCUGAUGG